rnacentral:rRNA from 1 species
GACGAACGCUGGCGGCGUGCCUAACACAUGCAAGUCGAACGGAGAAUUUCAAGAAGUUUACUUCAAGAAAUUUUUAGUGGCGGACGGGUGAGUAACGCGUGGGUAACCUACCCAUAAACCCGGGACAACCCUUGGAAACGAGGGAUAAUACCGGAUAAUCUUUUUGCUUGGCAUCAAGCGAUAAGAAAAGGUGGCCUCUGAAAAUGCUAACGAUUAUGGAUGGACCCGCGUCUGAUUAGCUAGUUGGUGGGGUAAAGGCCUACCAAGGCGACGAUCAGUAGCCGGCCUGAGAGGGUGAACGGCCACACUGGGACUGAGACACGGCCCAGACUCCUACGGGAGGCAGCAGUGGGGAAUCUUCCGCAAUGGACGAAAGUCUGACGGAGCAACGCCGCGUGUAUGAUGAAGGUCUUCGGAUUGUAAAGUACUGUCUUUGGGGAAGAAUGACUGGUUUGAAAAUAUUGAGCCAGUAUGACGGUACCCAAGGAGGAAGCCCCGGCUAACUACGUGCCAGCCGCCGCCGUAAAAC